rnacentral:rRNA from 1 species
AGCAGUAGCCGCGGGAAUACGUAGGUCCCGAGCGUUGUCCGGAUUUAUUGGGCGUAAAGGGAGCGCAGGCGGUUUAGUAAGUCUGGAGUUAAAGGCUGUGGCUUAACCAUAGUACGCUUUGGAAACUGUUCAACUUGAGUGCAGAAGGGGAGAGUGGAAUUCCAUGUGUAGCGGUGAAAUGCGUAGAUAUAUGGAGGAACACCGGUGGCGAAAGCGGCUCUCUGGUCUGUAACUGACGCUGAGGCUCGAAAGCGUGGGGAGCGAACAGGAUUAGAUACCCCUGUAGUCCCUGUCUCUUAUACC